CAAAAAGUAGUUUAUUAAAAUAAUAAUUUUGGAUAUUAUAGAUGUUUAUUUCCUUUUUGA
rnacentral:tRNA from 1 species